rnacentral:rRNA from 1 species
UGGGGAAUAUUGGACAAUGGGGGCAACCCUGAUCCAGCAAUGCCGCGUGUGUGAAGAAGGUUUUCGGAUUGUAAAGCACUUUCGGCGGGGACGAUGAUGACGGUACCCGCAGAAGAAGCCCCGGCUAACUUCGUGCCAGCAGCCGCGGUAAUACGAAGGGGGCUAGCGUUGCUCGGAAUGACUGGGCGUAAAGGGCGUGUAGGCGGUUUGUACAGUCAGAUGUGAAAUCCCCGGGCUUAACCUGGGAGCUGCAUUUGAUACGUGCAGACUAGAGUGUGAGAGAGGGUUGUGGAAUUCCCAGUGUAGAGGUGAAAUUCGUAGAUAUUGGGAAGAACACCGGUGGCGAAGGCGGCAACCUGGCUCAUGACUGACGCUGAGGCGCGAAAGCGUGGGGAG